AAAGUCGUAACAAGGUAACCGUAGGUGAACCUGCGGUUGGAUCAUUAACAAAUUGAUCAGGCUAAGCUUCACAGCUCUGCCGGUGUUUCUCCUGCGAAAGCGGGUAGGAAACCCAAACCCAUUUGUGAAAUGUAUAGAUGUCUCUGGCGGUGGGGUGUCGAAAAGGUUCUUGUAGCUUUCUCAAUCCCUGUCAGCAUGCUUUAUGCCUGUGGACAAGCCGCCAAUUGCUUCUUAACAACGCUUUUGCUAAGUAUCAUUGUCUAACCUGUUUAUUUUGUAAAAUAUACAAAAACAACUUUUGGCAACGGAUCUCUUGGCUCUC
rnacentral:misc_RNA from 1 species